UUAUCCUACGGGGCGCAGCAGUGGGGAAUAUUGCACAAUGGGCGAAAGCCUGAUGCAGCAACGCCGCGUGAAGGAAGAAGGGUUUCGGCUCGUAAACUUCUAUCAACAGGGACGAAAGAAAUGACGGCACCUGAAUAAGAAGCCCCGGCUAACUACGUGCCAGCAGCCGGGGUAAUACGUAGGGGGCAAGCGUUAUCCGGAAUUACUGGGUGUAAAGGGUGAGUAGGCGGCAUGGUAAGCCAGAUGGGAAAGCCUUGGG
rnacentral:rRNA from 1 species